rnacentral:lncRNA from 1 species
UAAGAUGGAGCUUCAGAAGUAGAAAUUUUUAGGCUUCAAAAGGGCUGAGACAUAUGCUGGGGGUGAGUGGGAAGCCUGGUACCCACUCCCUCCCCACCCCCUCGGGAUCUCCAGCUCCUCAGGCGAAGUGUGAACUCCAGGCCACCUGGGCCAACCAUUGAACAGACAAAGAGGGGCAGUGUCUCCCUGGAGCUCACACAGCAAUCUGAGCAUGACUUGACCCCAUGGGUUUCUUGCCCAGACCUUUCUUGGCACCUUUGAGGCCCUGAAGCUUCCAUUCCCUGGGCUCUCGUGGUGUGCCUGGUAUGAGGCUAGUGCUUUGAAGGAACUCUCAAUAACUAGGGAGCUGAUCCACUUCCAGGAAUUCAGAUUCUGAAGAGUGGGGUCGGGAAGGAGACAGGUAUCAUUGAACCUGGACCUCCCACCUCUAACCAGUUUUGCCUUAUGCCUCUUCUCUCAUGCACCAGGUUAGGGGGAGUCCUCCACAUUUCUACCUCGACUGUCCAUUGGUGUCUCAGCAGGGCUGUAAAAUUACUCCUCAUGUUCUGAAUGAAUUGAUCUAGGUAGUGGCUUGGUGGUUGGGACUUUGAAAAGCUUCCAGGUGAUUCCAAUGUGUGGAUGAGUGGAAAACCAUCGGGUGGGACUCCUGUGAUUGGGUUCCACCUCAAGCGAGGGGCCUCUUCCCAAAUCCUGCGGUGGUGGCAGAGGUGAACAGGUGUGGCCAGGGCUCCGCUGGAGUCUGUUACAGGACUGUGGAGCACCAGAGCCCCAGGUGGAAGGAGCCAGACUGGGAAGUAGGAAAGACAAGGACAGGGUGGGGAUACUUGGUACUCCAGCAAGGUCUCCAACUUCUGUGAUAAUUAGGUCUGUGCUAGUGCCAGUCCAGACUUGGGUUUCACCGACUCCAAGAUCCCUUCAGUUGUAAGAACUCUUUAUGUGUCAUUGAGGAAGAAAACCCUGCCAAUUACAUUUACGAGAUGUCAAUGAUUAAAAGGUGCAUCCUGAUUUCAGAAACAAGAAAGGAAAAGCAGUACAGCUGCCACCUUUAUAACCCCAAUGACUGGCUUGUGGGAGGGGCUUAGUGUUUGGUGAAUAGGUAGCAGUUCCCUUGAGACUGCCACCAGCACCUGGGGCCUCCACCUGGCCAGAACGGACUCCCAUCUUCCCCUCACAGCGUCCUCCUGGGUUCACCCUUUUUCUUUUAAAGAAUUUAUUCAUGAGAGACACACAGAAAGAGGCAGAGAUAAGGCAGAGGGAGAAGCAGGCUCCACACAGGGAGCCCGAUGUGGGACUCGAUCCCGGGACUCUGGGAUCAUGCCCCGGGCCGAAGGCAGGUGCUAAAUCGCUGAGCCACCCAGGGAUCCACCCCCCUGCCUUUUUUUUAACUUUUUUUUUUUUUAAUUUUUAUUUAUUUAUGAUAGUCACAGAGAGAGAGAGAGAGAGAGGCAGAGACACAGGCAGAGGGAGAAGCAGGCUCCAUGCACCGGGAGCCCGACGUGGGAUUCGAUCCCGGGUCUCCAGGAUCGCGCCCUGGGCCAAAGGCAGGCGCUAAACCGCUGUGCCACCCAGGGAUCCCUGCCGCCUUUUUUUAUUUUGAGAGAUUGAGAGGUGGGAAGGAGCAGAGGGAGGAGAGAGAAAUUUUUUUUUUUUUUUUUUAAGAUUUUCUUUAUUGGGACCCCAGGGUGGCUUGUCUGCCUUCAGCUCAAGUCAUGACCCAGGAAUCCUGGGAUUGAAUUCCACAUUGGGCUCACCACAGGAAGCCUGCUUCUCCCUCUGCCUGUCUCUACCUCUCUCUGUGUCGCUCAUGAAUAAAUAAAACCUUUAAGAAAAAAUAUUCAUGAGAGACAUAGGCAGAGGGAGAAGCAGGCUCCCUGCAGAGAGCCUGACAGGAUUGGAUCCCAGCACCCCAGGAUCACAACCUGAGCUGAAGGCGGACUCAACCACUGAGCCAGUCAGGUGCCCAGAGGGAGAGCCUGAUACAGAGCCUGAUGUGGGGCUUGGUCUCGCUACCCUGAGCUCAUGGCCUGAGCUGAAAUGAAGAGUUGGACACGGAACUCAUUGAGCCACACAGGUGUCCCAAUCUCUUUGAUGACACACUGUAGGCAGAAUAAUGACCCCCCCCCCCCCCCCCAAAUAUGGCAUGUCCUUAACAGAAUCGGUGAAGAUGGGACCUUAAGAAGCAAAAGAGAUUUUAAAGAAGUGAUUAAAUCAGUGACUGAAUUGGGGGGAGGGUUGUUCUGGAUUAUUGAGGUAUGUGGGCCCAGUGUCAUCAAAAGUGACCUGCAAUGUCAAAGGGUUAAGUCAGGAGGGUCAAAGGAGGUGAAGGUGUUAAACAUGGCUGCUGGCUUUGAAGAUGGAAGACAGGGCCAUAUCCCAAGGAAUGCAGUGGUCUGUGGAAGCUGGAAAGGCAAGAGCCACUACAAAGGGCAGCCCUACUGGGGAUUUGAACCCAGUGAAAACCAUUGUGGACUUCUGACUUCUAGGAUCCUACCUAAU